GAGAGGAAGUGAGGGUACACACGGGCGCGUGGUGACAAAAACAAUGGGAAACGGUGGAAAUAUUUUAGAAUCGUGAAAAAUUUCGAUCUGGCUCUGUCAUCGUACCCGAUGAAGGGGUAAGGAGGUCUAAUAUUGGGUGGAAAUUAUUUUCGAUUCUCUUCUUUAUAUAGUAUAGAUUCUCUCCCUUUUUAUAGUAAUUUUCGAUUCUCUUCUUUAU
rnacentral:lncRNA from 1 species